AUUGAACGCUGGCGGCAGGCCUAGCACAUGCAAGUCGAGCGGAUGAAGAGAGCUUGCUCUCUGAUUCAGCGGCGGACGGGUGAGUAAUGCCUAGGAAUCUGCCUGGUAGUGGGGGACAACGUUUCGAAAGGAACGCUAAUACCGCAUACGUCCUACGGGAGAAAGCAGGGGACCUUCGGGCCUUGCGCUAUCAGAUGAGCCUAGGUCGGAUUAGCUAGUUGGUGAGGUAAUGGCUCACCAAGGCGACGAUCCGUAACUGGUCUGAGAGGAUGAUCAGUCACACUGGAACUGAGACACGGUCCAGACUCCUACGGGAGGCAGCAGUGGGGAAUAUUGGACAAUGGGCGAAAGCCUGAUCCAGCCAUGCCGCGUGUGUGAAGAAGGUCUUCGGAUUGUAAAGCACUUUAAGUUGGGAGGAAGGGCAUUAACCUAAUACGUUAGUGUUUUGACGUUACCGACAGAAUAAGCACCGGCUAACUUCGUGCC
rnacentral:rRNA from 1 species